CUAAGACUCUUCUUCAAUCGCGUUCCCUUCCAUUUCAAAUCCGUCACUCGAAAACCAGGUUGCUCACGAAUUCUUCCUCCGACAAUCUGGAAGGUUUGGUUGACCCGGAUGACCUUUCUCUCUCAGGGCCAGAGUCAAUUUCCAGUGAAGAGUUCACUCUUCUGCGGGAUUCUUUAUUGAACCCUCCUUCUUCUUCUUCUUCUUCUCCUUCUUCCUCUUCUUCUUCUGCUGCUGGUAAGUUCUCAGAUGAAGCGUUGAUGGUUGU
rnacentral:lncRNA from 1 species